UGAGGGUAGGGGUGAAAGGCUAAUCAAACUUGGAGAUAGCUCGUACUCCCCGAAAUGCAUUUAGGUGCAGCGUGCAAAAAGUUUAACAGAGGUAGAGCGACUGAUUGGAUGCGAGGCUUUCACCGGCUAUCAAGUUCAGACAAACUCCGAAUGCUGUUAAAUGUUUUUGUGCAGUGAGGGCACGGGUGCUAAGGUCCGUGUCCGAGAGGAGAAGAAUCCAGACCAUCAGCUAAGGUCCCGAAAUAAUAGCUAAGUUGAACUAACGAAGUCGAACUGCAUAGACAGCUAGGAUGUUGGCUUGGAAGCAGCCAUUCAUUUAAAGAGUGCGUAACAGCUCACUAGUCGAGCGGUUUGGCGUGGAUAAUAAUCGGGCAUAAGCUAUUUACCGAAGCUGUGGAAUAUAAUAUAUUGGUAGGGGGGCAUUCCAUAUUCGUUGAAGAUAGAGGGUUACCUUUAUUGGAGGGUAUGGAAAAGCAAAUGUAGGUAUAAGUAACGAUAAGGAGGGCGCGAACCCCUCCCGCCGGAAGACUGAGGGUUCCUGAACAACGUUAAUCGGUUCAGGGUUAGUCGGGACCUAAGGAGAAGCCGAAAGGCGCAUCUGAUGGAAGAACAGGUUAAUAAUCCUGUACUGGCGUAUGGAGCGAAGUGGGGACGGAGAAGUGAAAGUCCUGCGUACUGACGGAAUAGUACGUUGAAGGGUGUAGGUGUAGAUAUUCGUAGGCAAAUCCGCGAAUAGAGCCGAACCUGAAAGUACCGAGCGUCUUCGGACAAUCGGAUAUGGAUGUAAUCAGACUCCCUAGAAAAACCGCUAAGCAUAUUCAUACGGCACCCGUACCAUAAACGGACACACGUGGUCAAGUAUAAAGUAUUAAGGCGCUCGAGUGAUCCGCGGCUAAGGAACUAGGCAAAAUAGUCCUGUAACUUCGGAAAAAGGGACACCUACCCAGUGAUGGGAGGUCGCAGAAGAAUGGCCCAGGCGACUGUUUAACAAAAACAUAGGGCUUUGCCAAAUCGCAAGAUGAAGUAUAAGGCCUGACACCUGCCCGGUGCUGGAAGGUUAAGAGGAGAUGUCAUCGCAAGAGAAGCAUUGAAUUGAAGCCCCAGUAAACGGCGGCCGUAACUAUAACGGUCCUAAGGUAGCGAAAUUCCUUGUCGGGUAAGUUCCGACCUGCACGAAUGGUGUAACGAUCUGGGCACUGUCUCAGCCGCGAGCUCGGUGAAAUUGUAGUAUCGGUGAAGAUGCCGAUUACCCGCAACGGGACGAAAAGACCCCGUGAACCUUUACUGCAACUUAACAUUGAAUUUGGGUAAUUGAUGUGUAGGAUAGGCCGGAGGCUAUGAAGCAGGUACGCCAGUAUUUGUGGAGCCGUUGUUGAAAUACGGUCCUUCAGUUAUUUGAGUUCUAACCCGUAGAAAUGGGGACACUGUUUGGUGGGUAGUUUGACUGGGGUGGUCGCCUCCAAAAGAGUAACGGAGGCUUCCAAAGGUACCCUCAGGCCGAUUGGUAACCGGUCGCAGAGUGUAAUGGUAUAAGGGUGCUUGACUGCGAGACAAACAAGUCGAACAGGUAGGAAACUAGGGCAUAGUGAUCCGGUGGUUCCGUAUGGAAGGGCCAUCGC
rnacentral:rRNA from 1 species